rnacentral:rRNA from 1 species
UACGAAGGGGGCUAGCGUUGCUCGGAUUGACUGGGCGUAAAGGGCGCGUAGGCGGUUCGUACAGUCAGACGUGAAAUUCCUGGGCUCAACCUGGGGGCUGCGUUUGAUACGUGCGGACUUGAGUGCGGAAGAGGGUCGUGGAAUUCCCAGUGUAGAGGUGAAAUUCGUAGAUAUUGGGAAGAACACCGGUGGCGAAGGCGGCGACCUGGUCCGAUACUGACGCUGAGGCGCGAAAGCGUGGGGGAGCAAACAGG